rnacentral:sRNA from 1 species
AGAACUCGGGUAUUAAUGACCCGGAGCCACAUGAUGGAGCAUGACACAGCACUUUUGGGCACAAGGCAGGGCCCAGAGGGGUGCGUGGGGGCCGCAGCCCAGCCCCCAAGCCCCGCCAGCGGGAAGCACCAGUUAGCCCAGAUGCUUCUCAUCUUUGGAGUUGAGCUGCAGGCUGGAGACCUGGAAGGCCCUCGCAGCGCCUGCUCCCAUCCUCUCACCUCACGAAAGCGCAGGAAUGUGGGUUUGGAGCCAAUGAAAAGUACUGGAAUCUGGCUCUGCUCUGUGACCCUGGGCAAGUCACUGCCCCUCUCUGGGCUUCAGUUUCCUCCUUGCUCCAUGAGGGCAGGGGAUUUUGUCUGUUUCAUUCACAAUGUGUUCCCAGAGCUCAGCACAGUGUCAGGCACACACUAGGUAACAGCACCUCGACUUCCUACUGAAGAACCCCCUCUUCCCUUUUCUCAGUCCAUGAGGCUGGGGGUGCCCAGAGGCCUCUGUCUCCAGGGGUGGACAUGUGACCGGGUCUUGCUCUAGUGAUUGGUCCAGGGAUGGGCACAUGACUGAGCCUGCCCAAUGAAACUUGAUCUUGGGACUUCAGGGUUGGCCAUGAUUUGUGAAGGAGAUGCCAUUUUCCAUUGGAUGGACAGUGAGCAAGUGAACGCUUAGAGAAGAAGAGGACAAAACAAGGGAAAAGCCUGCCUGACAGGAAGCAGCACAGAGCUGGACAGGCUUUGAACUCCUGGAUCCCACUGUACCUGAAAUUAGGCACCUUCAACUUUCUAGUUAUGUGAGCCACUGUCUUUCCCAUUUUUGGCUGAAAACAGUUGGGACUGGCUUUCUGUCCCUUGCAUACAGAAGGUGCUGACUGACCCCUGCCCCAUGGAAGAAGAUACUCCAGGCAGAGGAAAUAGUGUGUAUAGACACCCCUAAGCGAAUGCCAAGCGGGGCACUCAUGUACCAAGAAGAAGGAGGAGGAGGCACCUGGGAGCUGAGCUUAAGAGUUAGUCGGGUGGUCAAGGUGGGAGAAGGGGGUAUCUUUAGCAGAGGGAACAACCAUUGCAAAAGCUUGGAGGGGUGACUAGUUAGUGAAGAUCAACUGUGUGCUGAGCUCGUGUUGGGUGGCAAGGGACACAGACGAAAAGGGCACGGUGGAACCCAGCUACUUCUCACCUGCUCCAGCGCAGUGCAGGCUUGUCUGCUUUUGGAGCCGAGCCUGGACACCUCCGUGUCCUUCCCCCAGCAGAGUGCUGCCAGCACGCUGUCUCAGACUCUCCAGCAUCUCCUGGUUGAUGUGCAUCAUGGGGACCACACAAGAUUAUUUUAUAGGCUGCACAGGCAAAGCAUAAAAUCACCUCGGGUCACAUAGCGAGAGUUAUUCUCUCUGCAAAUUCUUUACAGUCUUUCCUUUAUAUCCAGAAGAGUCUCUGUGUGGUGCUAACUUGCCUCGAAGACCAAAUAAUUGCUAGUCUCCCUUUGUGAAAAGGAGAGCAGGUGUCAGGCUCAUUCAUGUCUCGGGCACACAAUUGUAUCUAGCUAGACUUUUCAAAAUGUCCUAUAGAGCUGCAGCACAUAUGAAUGAGGUGUCCAGCUGGUCCCAGACCUGUAAUCGGCACCCCAGUGAGCAGACUGGACAUCCCCACCCCCACAGCUGCCCUUUCUCCCCUCCACUCAUGUUCCCUCUAGGGCCACCACGAUCCCGACUUGUAUCACCACAGAUGAGUUUCACAUGUUUUUGAAUUUUACAUCUUAUCUGUUUUCUGUUCCUAUACAAGUUUGCCUUUUUUGAAUUCCAUAUAAGUGGGAUUCUACAAUGUGUUAUCUCAAUUUGAGUCUGUUUUUUUUUUUCCUGCUCAGCAUGAUGUUUUUGAGAUGCAUAUAUGCGGUUUUGUGUAUCUGUAGAUGGUUCUUUUUUAUUGCAGAAUAAUGUUCCAGGGUAUGGAUGUACCAAAGCUUGUUCAUCCAUUCACCAGCUGAGGGAUAUUUGGACUGUUUCCAGUUUUCAGCCAUUAUAAAUAAAGCCACUAGAAACAUUUGCAAA